GAUGAACGCUAGCGGGAGGCCUAACACAUGCAAGUCGAACGGGAUUGGUAGCAAUACCAUGAGAGUGGCGCACGGGUGAGUAACGCGUAUGCAACCUGCCUCAAACUGGGGAAUAGCCCAGAGAAAUUUGGAUUAAUACCCCAUAAUAUACAGAAUUCGCAUGUUUUCUGUAUUAAAGUUCAGACGGUUUGAGAUGGGCAUGCGUGACAUUACCUUGUUGGUGAGGUAACGGCUCACCAAGGCAACAAUGUCUAGGGGGUCUUAAAGGAUGAUCCCCCACACUGGUACUGAGACACGGACCAGACUCCUACGGGAGGCAGCAGUGAGGAAUAUUGGUCAAUGGGCGCAAGCCUGAACCAGCCAUCCCGCGUGUAGGAUGAAAGCCCUAUGGGUUGUAAACUACUUUUUUAUGGGAAGAAAAUUCUGUACGUGUACAGAACUGACGGUACCAUACGAAUAAGCAUCGGCUAACUCCGUGCCAGCAGCCGCGGUAAUACGGAGGAUGCAAGCGUUAUCCGGAUUUAUUAGGUUUAAAGGGUGUGUAGGCGGAGCAGUAAGUCAGUGGUGAAAUCCUGCGGCUUAACCGUAGAACUGCCAUUGAAACUACUAAUCUUGAGUAUAGUUGAGGUAGGCGGAAUGUGUAGUGUAGCGGUGAAAUGCAUAGAUAUUACACAGAACACCAAUUGCGAAGGCAGCUUACUAAACUAUAACUGACGCUGAUGCACGAAAGCGUGGGUAGCGAACAGGAUUAGAUACCCUGGUAGUCCACGCCGUAAACGAUGACUACUCGUUGCAUGCGAUACACAGUAUGUGACUUAGCGAAAGCAUUAAGUAAUCCACCUGGGGAGUACGUUCGCAAGAAUGAAACUCAAAGGAAUUGACGGGGGCCCGCACAAGCGGAGGAACAUGUGGUUUAAUUCGAUGAUACGCGAGGAACCUUACCUGGACUUAAAUGUAGCGUGACCGUGGGAAACUGUUUUUUCCUUCGGGACUCUUUACAAGGUGCUGCAUGGUUGUCGUCAGCUCGUGCCGUGAGGUGUCGGGUUAAGUCCCAUAACGAGCGCAACCCCUAUCGUUAGUUGCCAGCGAGUCAAGUCGGGGACUCUAACGAGACUGCCGGUGUAAACCGCGAGGAAGGUGGGGAUGAUGUCAAAUCAGCACGGCCCUUAUGUCCAGGGCUACACACGUGUUACAAUGGCCGAUACAAAGGGCAGCUACCAGGUGACUGGAUGCUAAUCUCUAAAGUCGGUCUCAGUUCGGAUCGAAGUCUGCAACUCGACUUCGUGAAGUUGGAUUCGCUAGUAAUCGUAUAUCAGCAAUGAUACGGUGAAUACGUUCCCGGGCCUUGUACACACCGCCCGUCAAACCAUGGAAGCUGGGGGUACCUGAAGUUCGUAACCGUAAGGAGCGGCCUAGGGUAAAUCUGGUAACUGGUGUU
rnacentral:rRNA from 1 species